AUGACUCCAUGCACCGGCUUCAAUUACAGACCUGUAGAGUUUUUGGCUUAUGCUAAUUGGCCUGAGGACAAGCCUGUUCAACAGGAGGGGGCAGUUGUGGAAGAAGAAGUUGGUAAUGAUGAUAGUUCUAGUGGCGAGACAAUUGGUCAGGCUAAGCGUGGUUCUAGAGCGCUAGGAGUAGACAGGGCAGAGACUUGCGUGCUAAGCCCGGUCUGA
rnacentral:lncRNA from 1 species